GCCUGUGGUCCCAGCUACUUAGGAGGCUGAGGUGGGCGGAUUGCUUGAACCCAGGAGUUCUGGGCUGUAAUGCACUAUGUCGAUUGGAUGUCCGCAUUAAGUUUGGCAUCAAUAUGGUGACCUUCUGGGAGCAGGGGACUACCAGGUUACCUAAGGAGGGGUGAACUGGCCCAAGUCAGAAAUGGAGUAGGUAAAAACUCCCGUGCUGAUUAGUAGUGGGAUAGCGCCUGUGAAUAGCCACUGCACUCCAGCCUCAGAAACAUAGCAAGACCCUGUCU
rnacentral:SRP_RNA from 10 species